rnacentral:rRNA from 1 species
GUUAAGCGACUAAGCGUACACGGUGGAUGCCCUGGCAGUCAGAGGCGAUGAAGGACGUGCUAAUCUGCGAUAAGCGUCGGUAAGGUGAUAUGAACCGUUAUAACCGGCGAUUUCCGAAUGGGGAAACCCAGUGUGUUUCGACACACUAUCAUUAACUGAAUCCAUAGGUUAAUGAGGCGAACCGGGGGAACUGAAACAUCUAAGUACCCCGAGGAAAAGAAAUCAACCGAGAUUCCCCCAGUAGCGGCGAGCGAACGGGGAGCAGCCCAGAGCCUGAAUCAGUGUGUGUGUUAGUGGAAGCGUCUGGAAAGGCGCGCGAUACAGGGUGACAGCCCCGUACACAAAAAUGCACAUGCUGUGAGCUCGAUGAGUAGGGCGGGACACGUGGUAUCCUGUCUGAAUAUGGGGGGACCAUCCUCCAAGGCUAAAUACUCCUGACUGACCGAUAGUGAACCAGUACCGUGAGGGAAAGGCGAAAAGAACCCCGGCGAGGGGAGUGAAAAAGAACCUGAAACCGUGUACGUACAAGCAGUGGGAGCACGCUUAGGCGUGUGACUGCGUACCUUUUGUAUAAUGGGUCAGCGACUUAUAUUCUGUAGCAAGGUUAACCGAAUAGGGGAGCCGAAGGGAAACCGAGUCUUAACUGGGCGUUAAGUUGCAGGGUAUAGACCCGAAACCCGGUGAUCUAGCCAUGGGCAGGUUGAAGGUUGGGUAACACUAACUGGAGGACCGAACCGACUAAUGUUGAAAAAUUAGCGGAUGACUUGUGGCUGGGGGUGAAAGGCCAAUCAAACCGGGAGAUAGCUGGUUCUCCCCGAAAGCUAUUUAGGUAGCGCCUCGUGAAUUCAUCUCCGGGGGUAGAGCACUGUUUCGGCAAGGGGGUCAUCCCGACUUACCAACCCGAUGCAAACUGCGAAUACCGGAGAAUGUUAUCACGGGAGACACACGGCGGGUGCUAACGUCCGUCGUGAAGAGGGAAACAACCCAGACCGCCAGCUAAGGUCCCAAAGUCAUGGUUAAGUGGGAAACGAUGUGGGAAGGCCCAGACAGCCAGGAUGUUGGCUUAGAAGCAGCCAUCAUUUAAAGAAAGCGUAAUAGCUCACUGGUCGAGUCGGCCUGCGCGGAAGAUGUAACGGGGCUAAACCAUGCACCGAAGCUGCGGCAGCGACGCUGAUGCGUUGUUGGGUAGGGGAGCGUUCUGUAAGCCUGCGAAGGUGUGCUGUGAGGCAUGCUGGAGGUAUCAGAAGUGCGAAUGCUGACAUAAGUAACGAUAAAGC